CUGCCCUUUGAGUGCUGAAGGUGCUGGAGUCCUUAGCAGGUUGCCAAGAGUUGCUAGUGCCUCCUGGUCUGUAAAGGGACACAGCACAAGUGCAUUUAGGAGCCUCUUGCU
ensembl:miRNA Mir6326 microRNA 6326